rnacentral:rRNA from 1 species
GUCGGAAUUGCUAGUAAUCGCGGAUCAGCAUGCCGCGGUGAAUACGUUCUCGGGCCUUGUACACACCGCCCGUCACACCAUGGGAGUCGGUAACACCCGAAGUCUGUAGCCUGACGCAAGAGGGCGCAGCCGAAGGUGGGAUUGAUGACUGGGGUGAAGUCGUAACAAGGUAUC